rnacentral:rRNA from 1 species
CCUACGGGAGGCAGCAGUGGGGGAUAUUGGACAAUGGGGGGAACCCUGAUCCAGCGACGCCGCGUGAGUGAAGAAGUAUUUCGGUAUGUAAAGCUCUGUCAGCAGGGAAGAAAGAAAUGACGGUACCUGACCAAGAAGCCCCGGCAAACUACGUGCCAGCAGCCGCGGAAAUACGUAGGGGGCAAGCGUUAUCCGGAAUUACUGGGUUUAAAGGGUGCGCAGGCGGAAGAUAAAGUCAGCGGUAAAAUUGAGAGGCUCAACCUGUUCGAGCCGUUGAAACUGGUUUUCUUGAGUGAGUGAGAGGUAUGCGGAAUGCGUGGUGUAGCGGUGAAAUGCAUAGAUAUCACGCAGAACUCCGAUUGCGAAGGCAGCAUACCGGCGCUCAACUGACGCUCAUGCACGAAAGUGUGGGUAUCGAACAGGAUUAGAUACCCCGGUAGUC